rnacentral:rRNA from 1 species
UUUAUGGAGAGUUUGAUCCUGGCUCAGGAUGAACGCUGGCGGCGUGCCUAAUACAUGCAAGUCGAGCGAACGGACGAGAAGCUUGCUUCUCUGAUGUUAGCGGCGGACGGGUGAGUAACACGUGGAUAACCUACCUAUAAGACUGGGAUAACUUCGGGAAACCGGAGCUAAUACCGGAUAAUAUUUUGAACCGCAUGGUUCAAAAGUGAAAGACGGUCUUGCUGUCACUUAUAGAUGGAUCCGCGCUGCAUUAGCUAGUUGGUAAGGUAACGGCUUACCAAGGCAACGAUGCAUAGCCGACCUGAGAGGGUGAUCGGCCACACUGGAACUGAGACACGGUCCAGACUCCUACGGGAGGCAGCAGUAGGGAAUCUUCCGCAAUGGGCGAAAGCCUGACGGAGCAACGCCGCGUGAGUGAUGAAGGUCUUCGGAUCGUAAAACUCUGUUAUUAGGGAAGAACAUAUGUGUAAGUAACUGUGCACAUCUUGACGGUACCUAAUCAGAAAGCCACGGCUAACUACGUGCCAGCAGCCGCGGUAAUACGUAGGUGGCAAGCGUUAUCCGGAAUUAUUGGGCGUAAAGCGCGCGUAGGCGGUUUUUUAAGUCUGAUGUGAAAGCCCACGGCUCAACCGUGGAGGGUCAUUGGAAACUGGAAAACUUGAGUGCAGAAGAGGAAAGUGGAAUUCCAUGUGUAGCGGUGAAAUGCGCAGAGAUAUGGAGGAACACCAGUGGCGAAGGCGACUUUCUGGUCUGUAACUGACGCUGAUGUGCGAAAGCGUGGGGAUCAAACAGGAUUAGAUACCCUGGUAGUCCACGCCGUAAACGAUGAGUGCUAAGUGUUAGGGGGUUUCCGCCCCUUAGUGCUGCAGCUAACGCAUUAAGCACUCCGCCUGGGGAGUACGACCGCAAGGUUGAAACUCAAAGGAAUUGACGGGGACCCGCACAAGCGGUGGAGCAUGUGGUUUAAUUCGAAGCAACGCGAAGAACCUUACCAAAUCUUGACAUCCUUUGACAACUCUAGAGAUAGAGCCUUCCCCUUCGGGGGACAAAGUGACAGGUGGUGCAUGGUUGUCGUCAGCUCGUGUCGUGAGAUGUUGGGUUAAGUCCCGCAACGAGCGCAACCCUUAAGCUUAGUUGCCAUCAUUAAGUUGGGCACUCUAAGUUGACUGCCGGUGACAAACCGGAGGAAGGUGGGGAUGACGUCAAAUCAUCAUGCCCCUUAUGAUUUGGGCUACACACGUGCUACAAUGGACAAUACAAAGGGCAGCGAAACCGCGAGGUCAAGCAAAUCCCAUAAAGUUGUUCUCAGUUCGGAUUGUAGUCUGCAACUCGACUACAUGAAGCUGGAAUCGCUAGUAAUCGUAGAUCAGCAUGCUACGGUGAAUACGUUCCCGGGUCUUGUAC